ACAAAACAUCACACUCACUACAACCAUUGUAGACAUUGUUUCUUUUGAAACUUAACAAAAACAACAAACAAACAAAAUGUUCAAACUGUUCAUCUUCGCCUGCUUCCUGGCCCUCGCUGCCGCCAAACCCGGAGUACUCGCCCCGGUGGCAUACACAGCCCCGUAGCGGCGGCGUAUACUGCACCUGUGGCAGCCGCGUACACCGCUCCCGUCGCAUACACCGCCCCUGUUGCAGCCUACUCCGCGUACAGCUAUGCUUCUCCCUACGCCGCCUACUACCUGCGUCGUUAAAUACCAAAGAAAAUAAAAAAAAAAUUACUGCCAGCCAAGUCUGAAUAAUAAAUGAUUAAGCAUUUAAAUUAAUUUUUUAUCAUUA